rnacentral:lncRNA from 1 species
GCAGGACAAACAGGAUAAUUUAUUCUCAUUUUUCCUUAAAAGAAGGAUACAGUAGAAGUUUUAUAAUUCAGUAUGAUUAGACGUGAUUUAACUUGUUAAUCAAGUGCUUCCUAAAUUUAGGAACCAGUGACCAAGUGGCCUGAAAUAAGUCUUGAUCUUAUCUUUCCAGCUAUAAAUUAUUACUAUUUCAAGAAAACAAAAUAUUUUCUAAGCAACGUUAAGUUUUCUAAAAACUUCAAUUACCUUUUCUGGCUCAGUACCUGCCUGACUGAAAUGUUCAAAUGUUCAUAUUGCACACAAAAAAAUUUGAGCAGCAUACUAUAUGAGUGUGAGAAGCUGAUGAAUAUUAAGAUUGAGGAAACUCCCUAAUGAGUCACAUUUACAUGAUUUAAAUAUAUACUUUCUAUAUCUUUAAUUAAUAUAAGUAAAAAGGUAAUCUUUAGAACAGCACAGAAAUACAAAUGCAUUAGUUUUAUAAAAUAUAUUCAACCCCUUAUACGUGCAACAAUCUUUUAAUUUUGGAGCUGCCACAUAAGGGAGCUAG